rnacentral:rRNA from 1 species
UGCCAGCAGCCGCGGUAAUACGUAGGGAGCAAGCGUUGUCCGGAAUUACUGGGCGUAAAGGGCGUGUAGGUGGCAUAUUAAGUCAGGUGUGAAAUGUACGGGCUCAACCCGUGACCUGCAUUUGAAACUGAUAAGCUUGAGUGCGAGAGAGGUAAGUGGAAUUCCUAGUGUAGCGGUGAAAUGCGUAGAUAUUAGGAGGAACACCAGUGGCGAAGGCGACUUACUGGCUCGUAACUGACGCUGAGACACGAAAGCGUGGGUAGCAAACAGGAUUAGAUA